AAAGGAUUUAGAACUUUAAACAAAAAUCCCCAGCCGACCCUGUCAAAAGCCUUCUCUGCAUACAAUAACAGAGUCAACAGGGGACAACCAUUACUCUCCCCCCAAUCCAAUAUAUUAAUUAGGCGUCUAGUAUUGAGACUUGCUUGUCUAUUAGGGACGAAACCAAUCUGAUCUUUAUGAAUUAAACUAGAAAGCACUCCCUUUAUCCUUUCUGCCAAAAUUGCUUAAAACGGCUUCGAAUCCAUGUUUAUCAAAGAAAUCGGACUAUCUUUUUUAAUUUCUUGUGGAUUUUUAUCUUUCUUCAAAAUUGGCAGUAUAUUCGCAUACAACAAUUCCCUUGGUCCCGCACCUUUAUUAACAAUCCCAUUAAAUGUGUUUGUUAAAUAUUCACUCAAUAGAUCUUUAUACAAUAGAUAACCUGUUUGAAUUCUAAUUUAGUUAGGAGAGAAUUUAAGACUAUAUUUUGCUCUUGUGUGAUUUAGG